rnacentral:rRNA from 1 species
UACGAAGGGGGCUAGCGUUGCUCGGAAUCACUGGGCGUAAAGCGCACGUAGGCGGAUUGUUAAGUCAGGGGUGAAAUCCUGGAGCUCAACUCCAGAACUGCCUUUGAUACUGGCGAUCUCGAGUCCGGGAGAGGUGAGUGGAACUGCGAGUGUAGAGGUGAAAUUCGUAGAUAUUCGCAAGAACACCAGUGGCGAAGGCGGCUCA